ACUCAAGAGGAAGGAGGUUGCAGGGAACUUAGAGACUAAUCUUUGCCAACAUACUGGAUUUCUGGUGAUGACAAUAGGAGCCAAUAGUAUGCGGCUCAGUUAAUACUAAAAACAAUUGAUUUUAGUAAUUAGUGGACUAUGAGUGUGUGUUUGGUCAUCCAGAUUUCAUAACUACAACUGAUGUUCAAUUACAAGGGAUAUUAAUCAGUCUCCGUGGACUAUACACUGUGCCUAGUUUCAUCCUCAGAGACUGAUGUGUAAGCUUAAAGUAAAGACAUCAAAUCAAAGUAUCAGCUAUCAAGAGGAAGAACAUUCAAAAUCAUAUUGUGAUACACAAAUCAAGCAAGUCUAUAACCAGCAAUAUGAUACAGGCCAAGAAAAAGCUGGAUAUUUGAUUGGAAGGGUGGCACAAAAAAGAUGGGUUAUCACUAGGGAAACAAGCUCGGAAUACAGUUCACUGUUGGGACAGCAAGCCAAAUACUUCUAAACUUAUUUGAAUCAUUUUUGCUGUUUAUUAUAAUUCAUCCAAUUGUCUUAUUAAAUAUAUAAAUUUAUAUAUAUACACAAUUCCUAAUAUAGAAUUUCUAAAAAUGUUUUAUUAUAAUAUUUAAAAAUGAAACAGACAUGUUCCCAGAACACAGCCACAUAAUGUCAACAUGUUCCCAGAACACAGCCACAUAAUGUCAACAUGUUCCCAGAACACAGCCACAUAAUGUCAACAUGUUCCCAGAACACACAAAAUGGCAACAUGUUCCCAGAACACACAAAAUGGCAACAUGUUCCCAGAACACACAAAAUGGCAACAUGUUCCCAGAACACAGCCAAAUAAUGUCAACAUGUUCCAUGAACUCACAAAAUGGCAACAUGUUCCCAGAGCUCACAAAAUGUCAU